CCUACGGGAGGCAGCAGUGAGGAAUAUUGCGCAAUGGGCGAAAGCCUGACGCAGCGACGCCGCGUGGACGAUGAAGGCCUUCGGGUUGUAAAGUCCUGUCAGGAGGAACGAAGCGGUUCAUCCCGUGACGGUACCUCCAGAGGAAGCCCCGGCUAACUACGUGCCAGCAGCCGCGGUAAGACGUAGGGGGCAAGCGUUGUCCGGAGUUACUGGGCGUAAAGAGCUCGUAGGCGGCCUGCUAAGUCGGGUGUGAAAGCCCUUGGCUCAACCAAGGAAUUGCACUCGAUACUGGUGGGCUAGAGUCUAGUAGAGGGAAGUGGAAUUCCCGGUGUAGCGGUGAAAUGCGCAGAUAUCGGGAAGAACACCGGUGGCGAAGGCGGCUUCCUGGGCUAUGACUGACGCUGAGGAGCGAAAGCUAGGGGAGCGAACAGGAUUAGAUACCCGGGUAGU
rnacentral:rRNA from 1 species